GCCACACCCUCCCCUACAGAAGUGCUCACAGCACAGCCCUCAGCAUGGACUGGAGCUGGAGAACCCUCCUCCUGGUGGCCAUGGUGACAGGUGUCCACUCCCAGGUGCAGCUGGUGCAGUCUGGGGCUGAGGUGAGGAAGCCUGGGGCCUCCGUGAAGGUCUCCUGCAAGGCUUCUGGAUACACCUUCACCAGCUACUGGAUGCACUGGGUGCGUCAGGCCCCAGGACAGGGGCUUCAGUGGGUGGGGAGGGUUAACCCUUAUAAUGGAAACACAAACUACGCACAGAAGUUCCAAGGCAGAGUCUCCAUGACCAGAAAUAAGUGCACUGUUGGGGUCAAACCCCAGCAGGUCCAGAGGUGUCCUGUCCCAGGUGCAGCUGCAGGAGUCGGGCCCAGGAGUGGUGAAGCCCUCACAGACCCUCUCCCUCACCUGCACUGUGUCCGGGGCUCAGUCACCAGCAGUUACUGGUGGAACUGGAUCCGCCAGCCCCCGGGGAAAGUGUUGCAGUGGAUGUGGUACUGGACAGGGAGCACAAGCUACAACCCAGCCUUCUAG